rnacentral:rRNA from 1 species
GACGAACGCUGGCGGCGUGCUUAACACAUGCAAGUCGAACGGAAAGGCCCUGCUUUUGUGGGGUGCUCGAGUGGCGAACGGGUGAGUAACACGUGAGUAACCUGCCCUUGACUUUGGGAUAACUUCAGGAAACUGGGGCUAAUACCGGAUAGGAUCUCCUGCUGCAUGGUGGGGGUUGGAAAGUUUCGGCGGUUGGGGAUGGUAUGGCGGCUUAUCGGCUUGUUGGUGGGGUAGUGGGUUACGAAGGCUUUGACGGGUAGCCGGCCCGAGAGGGUGACCGGGCUCAUUGGGACUGAGAUAGGGACCAGACUCCUACGGGAGGCAGCGGUGGGGAAUAUGACACAAUGAGCGGGAGCCAGAGGCAGCAGCGCCGCGGGCGGGAUGACGGCCUUCGGGUUGUAAACCGAUUUCGCCUGUAACGAAGCGUGCGUGACGGUAACGGGUAAAAAAGCACCGGCUAACUACGUG